rnacentral:rRNA from 1 species
CCGCAAUGGGCGCAAGCCUGACGGAGCAAGACCGCGUGAGGGAAGACGGUCUGUGGAUUGUAAACCUCUUUUGAUAGGGAAGAAGGACUGACGGUACCUAUCGAAUCAGCCUCGGCUAACUCCGUGCCAGCAGCCGCGGUAAUACGGAGGAGGCAAGCGUUAUCCGGAAUUAUUGGGCGUAAAGCGUCCGUAGGUGGUUGGUCAAGUCAGCUGUUAAAGCGCGGAGCUUAACUCCGUAAGGGCAGUUGAAACUGGUCAGCUAGAGUGCGAUAGGGGCAAGGGGAAUUCCCAGUGUAGCGGUGAAAUGCGUAGAUAUUGGGAAGAACACCGGUGGCGAAAGCGCCUUGCUGGGUCUGCACUGACACUGAGGGACGAAAGCUAGGGGAGCGAUGG